UACGUAUGGGGCAAGCGUUAUCCGGAUUUACUGGGUGUAAAGGGAGCGCAGGCGGCCUGGCAAGCCUGAUGUGAAAUACCGGGGCCCAACCCCGGGGCUGCAUUGGAAACUGUAAAGCUAGAGUGCCGGAGGGGUAAGCGGAAUUCCUAGUGUAGCGGUGAAAUGCGUAGAUAUUAGGAGGAACACCAGUGGCGAAGGCGGCCUGCUGGACUGCAACUGACGUUGAGGCUCGAAGGCGUGGGGAGCAAACAGG
rnacentral:rRNA from 1 species